rnacentral:rRNA from 1 species
AUUGAACGCUGGCGGCAUGCCUUACACAUGCAAGUCGAACGGCAGCACGGGAGCAAUCCUGGUGGCGAGUGGCGAACGGGUGAGUAAUAUAUCGGAACGUGCCCAGUAGUGGGGGAUAACUGCUCGAAAGAGCAGCUAAUACCGCAUACGACCUGAGGGGGAAUGGGGGGGAUCGCAAGACCUCUCGCUAUUGGAGCGGCCGAUAUCAGAUUAGCUAGUUGGUGGGGUAAAGGCCUACCAAGGCAACGAUCUGUAGUUGGUCUGAGAGGACGACCAGCCACACUGGGACUGAGACACGGCCCAGACUCCUACGGGAGGCAGCAGUGGGGAAUUUUGGACAAUGGGCGCAAGCCUGAUCCAGCAAUGCCGCGUGCAGGAAGAAGGCCUUCGGGUUGUAAACUGCUUUUGUCAGGGAAGAAAUCCUCUAGGUUAAUACCCUUGGGGGGAUGACGGUACCUGAAGAAUAAGCACCGGCUAACUACGUGCCAGCCGCCGCAGUAAUAC